GCCGUGAUCGUCUAGUGGUUAGGACCCCACGUUGUGAGCGUGGUAACCCUGGUUCGAAGCCUGGGUUGUAGUU
rnacentral:tRNA from 1 species